rnacentral:rRNA from 1 species
AUACAGAGGGUGCAAACGUUGUUCGGAAUUACUGGGCAUAAAGCGCGCGUAGGCGGUCAGGUAAGUGUGAAGUGAAAUCCCACGGCUCACCCGUGGAACUGCUUUGCAUACUGCUUGACUAGAGGAAGGUAGGGGAGAGCAGAACUCUUGGAGGAGCGGUGAAAUGCGUAGAUAUCGAGAGGAAUACCAGUGGCGAAGGCGGCUCUCUGGUCCUUUACUGACGCUGAGGUGCGAAAGCUAGGGUAGCGAACGGGAUUAGAAACCCCAGUAGUCC